GCUGCCAGAUCCUACCCACUCAAGCCCUGGGUAGUGCUGACUGAUGGCUGUUGCUGCUUCCUGAGCUUGUACCAGCUGCACAGGGAGCGACACUAUCCCUCCACCUCCAGUGAGUGCCCCUGCUACAGUCAGACCUCAUGCAACCUCCUGUCCAGCUUAGUCACCCGCCCGUCAUUCAUGCAGCAAACCCAUCUCUAGGAUAGGGAGAGAAGAGGCACAAGAAGCUGCUCAGGGCAGAAAACACCGGCCAGGCUGCGUGAGAUACACUGCAUGGAGGGUCUCACCAUAUGUGGAUCUACCCCAUCCUGUAUGGACUGAGAGGACGUCUGCUAUCUUCAUGGAACUCUCUUCAUCUGGCUCAGAUCCUGCAGAGAAUGAUGUGCCUGUAAAUUAGUCUUCAGGAAGAGAGCGAGCUAUGACCCCUGCUUCCAAACAAGUCAAGAGAACUGGCAAAUGCCUUUCAGAUCAUGUUUUAAAACCUUCUACAUCUGGUGCACAGAAUGAGGCAGCGGCUUUGGUAGUGGAUAGCAAGAGGCAAAGGUCAAACCAGAGGCUGCACAAAUAUUGCGCACUGGAUUUAUUGUUUUAAUUAAGAGUGUGGCAGUUCAUCAUAAACUGUUUAUGGUGUUUUUUGCACAGUGCAGCAUUUUGAAAUCAGCUGUUUUAAUGAAAACAUAAUGUCAUAUCUGUCAAAGUUCUAAAUAUUUUGAAAGUGAAAUAUGAAAACAAGAACUUUAAUUCUGGGUUUACUAGGAUUAGCUCACUGAAUUGCUUUUUAAAUCCCUUAAGAGUGUCAUGUCAUGGGUACUGUGUGGUUCCAUGAUGGGGUAGGAGGCUGGAAAACUGGAGGUACUGUAGCUUGUUAUUUAAUAGCAAAAAUACAUGCUGAGGGCUAAUGUAUUGAAAACACUAUUAUUUAUUAUUAUUUGUGUUGAAAUGCUAGAUAAAAGAAGCAAUCAGAGAUAAGGCACUUUCUCCACAAUAUGCAGAAUGUAAAUUGUGAGUCCUCAUGCUAAAAAAUCUGAAUAAGGUCUUGAAACUGGAAAGAAAUAUAUCUUCAGUAGUUAAUAUGAUGUUAUGAAAUCUCAGCAUCAGAAUCUUUGUAACUAAUUAUUUAUAAUAACCUCAAAGAUGAUAGGUUUGUGGACUUUUAAAGCUGGGUAGUUUUGAAGUCCUUGUAAUUUCCUACUAUUGUUAUGCAUUCAUUUAGAUAUGUCAGGCAAUUUUGGUUUAAUUUGUUAUGUAGUCUGAUAAAAUAUUUGUAUAAUCUGAAAAUUGUAUUUUUUUGUAAUACUCGCCUUUGAAAAUAGAAAUUAAGUCUGUCAUUAGAUGCUAGGCCACAGUAGUUGACUGAGCAGGCUAAUAUAUGUUACAUUCUGUGCUAUACUUGGUCAAGUUUCAUAUAUAUUGUAUUCCACAUUAUUUUAUUAAAUUUAAUAUCUGCACUUUCUAUUUCCAGACAUGCCUCUCAUUCAAAGCACAGAGGCACAGUUCUCUAAUCAGAAGUGACAAGCUAUAUACUUUCUUUCAGCCAUUAUUCGGUAGCCUAGAGCAAGGAGCUCUGUUUCCUUGAAAAUGUUUGAAUUGGGUUAUUUUUAUUGAAGUAUUAAAGUAAUUCUUCAGAUUUUAGGCUAUUAUUUAAGCACUUUUGGGAGAAUGCAAUAGUAUCUGGAUCCUAUAGCCUUUGUUAUGUUAACAAUUGUAGUACUAAAUAUGUCUCUUUUUUAAUGCUAGUUAUGUAAGUAUCUGAAAAUUCAUAUCUGACUGAUUGAAACUAACAACGCUUAGGUAAAUAAACUAAUUUAGCCUACUCAUUUUGUUUAGGUCCAGGAGUAGCAUGUUAAAAUGGCUCACUAGUUAAAUAUACAACUAGAUUCAGGUUACCCUACUGUCAUCGACCAAUUUGUCAUCUUAACUAUUAUUUUUAUUUGUCAAAAUAAUGAAUGUGCUGAAUGCUAACCUCAUGUCAAGAAAUCUGAAGGGGUCGGUGUUUGUAUUUUGAGGCAAUAUAUGGGUAGGAUGAUGUUAGUAAUAAAUGCUAAUAACUUUACAUUUUGAUUUAGUUACACUGACUGUACACACAAAAGGAUCUCCAGAGGCUCUGCAGAUUGCGGGUCUGAUGCUCCCCUCCCUUAACAUGGGAAGAGGGAAGCAUAACAUGGCAAAAUUUAGUGUAUUUUAGUAUUGAAAGAGGAUGGAGCAGCUGCCCCUAUCCUCAAAGCCAUGGAGACCCUUUUAGCAACCGCAGAAGCGGAUAUUCCAAGGACAGACCCUGGGAGCAGCCAUUCUCUGUGGCAUAGUCCUUAUGGGCUCCAGAGGCUUUCUUAAUGGUAAUCCUAAUAAACCAAGCAAUGUUAACUUCCUUUCCAAGUCUUCUACCCAUUGUGGAGUGGAAUGGGUAAGGCAGUAUGUGCAAUGGGAGAGCCAAAAACAGCAUAGUGUCAGGGUUGGGUAAGCAAUUUGGAGGGAUACAGAGAGUGUAGUUACUGUGUGUCCAGGCCACAAUCCCUGAACUCUAAAUUAGCACUUGGUCUCCCUCAUACAUAUAUAGCCAGCCUUGCUGAGUUUUGUAGUGUUUCUAUGAUAUGCACAAAAGUGGGUUAUAAUGACACCACCAAAUUCACUUCCAAUCCUGACCAAAGUCUUUGCUUAAGGAAGGAAUUAUUAAUUAUUUUGCAUAAAUAUCAUAAGUGUAAAUGCAAAGUGACUUGAUGGAAACAAAGUCUAACUGUCCAGGAACAGGUGUAAUCAACAUCUAUCAGUUAGAAGCCUUACUGUAAUCUUCUCUGAUUUUGUUUGUGUAAUCUGCAUUUUUCUUAAGGCGAGUUUGUACUGAGAUGUUCUUCUCUUAGACCAUGUCAUAGUUGGCUCCUACUCUGGCAACAGUGGGGGAACACUUACUUUCCUCAUCAGGAUCCAAAUUCUACUCAGCUGGCAAACCCAGGUAGUUCAAUUAGAGCUAAUGGGACUAUUUGAGUGACCAAGAUUUGGGCAUAGGUCUAGAGACAGCUCCAGGUACGCACUAUAUCAGGAAUUCUCAACCUUUUUCUUUCUAAGGCCACCCUAACGUGAUAUAAAAACUCCAUGGCCCACCUGUGCCACAAAUAAUAUCACAGGCUCUAGAGUAAAUGAGUAUUUUGUGUGUUGGGGUUUUUUUUGUUUUAAAGCCCAAAUUAAAAUCUUGGGGCUGCACACUUCAAACUUUGGUGGAAUUGAGAUCUGAACCCAUUUACAGAUUGAAAUUUUUGAGGCUGACUGUUAUCAGUAACAACUAGAAGCUUCAGAAAGUCCUCUUAGCAAGGUGAAGAGUAUAACCUAGUGUGGAUAACUCAUUAAAAGUUCUAGUGUACUGACAUUAAUGACACCAAUACAGUGUAGGGAAGAAAAAAAGGAAAGUACAGAUAGAGGGAAUGGCGUGUCCAAAAUAUUUACUAAAUCAGUGAGCUUCAAUUCACUAAAGAAUUUUGAGUAACAGCAGAUUACUUUGGGUAAAGACAUGAAUAAAAACUUAAGGAAAAGUCUGAGUGGUGUAGCAAGACAGAAUCCUCCCCUCUACCUGGUGUCUGUCUGUGGAGUGGCAGUGUCUGUUUCAGCUGUACUUCCACUGGGAGGAAUGUGGAGUGUGUGCCCAUCUAGUGGGCUAAACCCUGCCCUUCUUACCUGGUGCUCAUGCUCUUUGUAAUAGUACAAGGGGACAUGGUCUGCAAAUUAAGAGGUAUAUCUAACUGCUGAGGCAGCUAGUACAUGCUGCAGUCACUAGCUGUCUUGCAGUGACCAGGGCUAGGUUUAAGUCGGUAUGCAUUACCUCUUGCACCAAUAAUAUUGUAAGGAUAGCAAGGUUUCUCUUGGCCAUCAUCAGGCAAAAGAAAUUAUUCUAGAGUCUGAUCAACGCAACCCAAAGCAGGAAAGAGGGAUUAGGUGUCAAGGCAGAUACAAUAGUUGCAUUUCCUAUUACAUCUGCAAGAGACUAUCCAGUGGAUUCUCUUAUCAUUGCCCUUUAAUAUCAGGUUGCUUGGAGUCCUUCAGAUGUGAACAGCCUCUGUAGCUGUGGGUCAAAGCAGGUUGGUUGAAUUUAGGCCAGCAGGUAUGGGAGGGUAUUGUUUCUUUGGGUGAUUCAUUAAAUGUGCCAAUAUACUGAGGACAAUAUUAUCAAAUUAUGUCAUUAGUAUCAAACCAUAUAAAGACUUUAAAGUCUUUAAAUCAAGACUGGAUGACUUUCCUAAAGAUAUACUCUAGCUCAGCCAGUCAGGCAUCAUGCGGAUAUCACUUGGUGAAAUAAUGUGGACUGUAUUAUUCAGUAGAUCAGAAUAGGUAAUCAUUAUGGUCCCUUUUGGCCUCAAAAUCUAUUAAUGUGAAAUAUGUAAUUCUGUACCAUUACUGAUGUGUAUUAAAAUCUAUUCAUAUGUUUUGGCUAAAAUGACGCAAUAUCGUAUUCAGAGAAUUAGAAGAAAAUUUUUCGGAGUAGUAAUUACAUAAGCUAGUUCUAAGCUAUGAUCCAUUUU